rnacentral:rRNA from 1 species
AUUGAGCGCUGGCGGUAUGCUUUACACAUGCAAGUCGAACGGCAGCGCGGGCUUCGGCCUGGCGGCGAGUGGCGAACGGGUGAGUAAUACAUCGGAACGUGCCCAGUAGUGGGGGAUAGCUCGGCGAAAGCCGGAUUAAUACCGCAUACGACCUGAGGGUGAAAGCGGGGGAUCUUCGGACCUCGCGCUAUUGGAGCGGCCGAUGGCAGAUUAGCUAGUUGGUGGGGUAAAGGCCUACCAAGGCGACGAUCUGUAGCUGGUCUGAGAGGACGACCAGCCACACUGGGACUGAGACACGGCCCAGACUCCUACGGGAGGCAGCAGUGGGGAAUUUUGGACAAUGGGCGAAAGCCUGAUCCAGCAAUGCCGCGUGUGUGAUGAAGGCCUUCGGGUUGUAAAGCACUUUUGGCGGGAACGAAAAGGACUGUGCCAAUACCACGGUUCGAUGACGGUACCCGCAGAAUAAGCACCGGCUAACUACGUG